GUGUCUGCUGUAGCUGCUGCUUGCUGUGUCUGCUGUAGCUGCUAGUACUAUUUUCUGCCGUCUGCAUACUGAUCCUCGUAGGGAAACUGUGUUGGAUAUCGCAUCCAGAGUGUGCUGAGUGGCUUAUAGCGCCUCACCGUGCUGCUGUUUUGUUUCAUUAGUUUUGUUUCAUUAGUUUUGUUUCAUUAGUUUUGUUUCAGUUUUCUGUUUGGAUUAAUUUUGAUUAAUUAAAUAAUUAAUUAAUUAUUUAAAUUAAUUAAUUAGUUUUUGCUUUGGCUUAUUUGUUUUGCUUUGAUUUAGUUUUUUUUGUUGUUUUUUUGUUUUGAUUUAUUUUGGCUAAUUAAGUUUGUGUUUUCGUAUUGAUUUGUGUUGGUUUUUCAUUUUUUGUGAUAUUCAGUUUUUGUCUUUUAGUUUCUUAAUUUUGCCUUUUGGGGUUGUUUUGUGUCUAAUUUGGUAUUUUGUCUUCUAUAUUUUUGAUUAAUCUAAUUUAUCUUUUUUUUCUGUGUCUAACUUUUUUGUGUUGGAAUUUGAGUUAAUUUGGGUUUUCUUUUCUUUGGAGCUCUUUUCUCUAAUUGGGUUUCUAUUUUGUUUUGUAUACUUUUUUUGAGUGUGGGUUUAUUUUAUAGGGUUAUUCUCUUUGGAGGAUUACUUUGGUCAGUUGGAAGCCUUACCUUAAUUUCUUAAUAUUUUGUGUUUGGUGUGCUAGUAAUUUGGUUUAAUUCAUUUCUUUUCUGCCUCGGUUGGGAUUUUCUUUUUUUUCGUAAUUGUGGGUGUGUGCUCGUGUGCAGUGGUAUGUGUGUGUGUAGGUGAUUUUUUUUUUUUUGUCCUGCUGUCCUGGUAAGCCCUCAGUUCUAAUAUAUAUAUUUUUUGUGAUUCUGGGUGUGUAUAAUCUUUUCUUGAUAAUUGUUAAUAAAACUUGUUUUAAUUUGGAAA